rnacentral:rRNA from 1 species
UGGGGAAUAUUGCACAAUGGGCGAAAGCCUGAUGCAGCAACGCCGCGUGAGGGAUGACGGCCUUCGGGUUGUAAACCUCUUUUAGUAGGGAAGAAGCGAAAGUGACGGUACCUGCAGAAAAAGCACCGGCUAACUACGUGCCAGCAGCCGCGGUAAUACGUAGGGUGCGAGCGUUGUCCGGAAUUAUUGGGCGUAAAGAGCUCGUAGGCGGUCUGUCGCGUCUGCUGCGAAAACCCGAGGCUCAACCUCGGGCUUGCAGUGGGUACGGGCAGACUAGAGUGCGGUAGGGGAGAAUGGAAUUCCUGGUGUAGCGGUGGAAUGCGCAGAUAUCAGGAGGAACACCGAUGGCGAAGGCAGUUCUCUGGGCCGUAACUGACGCUGAGGAGCGAAAGCGUGGGGAGCGAACAGGAUUAGAUACCCUGGUAGUCCACGCCGUAAACGUUGGGCGCUAGAUGUGGGGACCAUUCCACGGUUUCCGUGUCGCAGCUAACGCAUUAAGCGCCCCGCCUGGGGAGUACGGCCGCAAGGCUAAAA